CAGGAUGGACCCGCGUCUGAUUAGCUGGUUGGUGAGGUAACGGCUCACCAAGGCGACGAUCAGUAGCCGGCUUGAGAGAGUGAACGGCCACAUUGGGACUGAGACACGGCCCAAACUCCUACGGGAGGCAGCAUG
rnacentral:rRNA from 1 species